AUUCCCAACACAUGCUUUGCCAAGUUUCACCUAGAAGAAAAGAGGGCAAAGUGAUCAGUAAUGGUUAUUUGAAAUCUUCAACAUCUCUAUCUACAUUAGAGCUUACUGGUAAAUUUAGACACGUACAUAUCUCUCUUUAAUCUUUCCCACCACCCUAAAUACUGACAAAGUAGAUUUCACAGUGAAUACAGGUGGUUGUUUGAAUUUCAUGGUUGUAGCGUAAAAUUAUUCCUUGAUAUACAACAACAACGUAACCCAGAUAAUUGGUUUGACAAGUACUCAGGGAGACAGCUUUUUAGUUGUAAUUAUUCCUUUAACAAAGAGUUCAAAUUAAUCGAUCGUGAAAAAGUAGUUGAUUGACGGGCAUAUCAUAUGUCAAAUAAGAAAAAUGACAACCCUUUUGAAUAAUAUCUGUGAUGAGAAAAACUAAAGAUGGAGCAGAACAUCACCGUGUGGACACAACUCUAAGUGAAUAUGUAUUUUAUUACCAAAAAUCUGUUCCAUCAGCUCAGCCCAAGCCCACGCGCAGAACCGAAAAUUUGUAGACAAAUUAAAUAAAAUAGUAACCAAAAACCAAUCAAACAUAAGAUUAUAAAAGCUAGCUCGAAUUAGGUAAGGAGCAGUAAAAUUAGACCCCAAUUUAUAUGUUUCGAAAGGAGCAAUAAUUAGUCGUUUUACUUUUCUUGCCCAAGCAUACAGAUGUCACCUACAUAACAUGGCCAUUAACAUCCUUUGCCCAUUUAGAAUUUUUUUUUUUUUUUUUUUUGGGGGGUAAAAUACCUAUUCAGUAGUUAAAUAUAUAGUAAAACAGUAAUCGGUGCAUAUAUUUCUAUUGGGGAUGUUAUUUCAAAUACCACUAAGUCCUUUAUUUGUCAACGUAACAAAGGAUAAAUAACCAAAUCCUAUUAUUUCCCUUGGUCCUAAAACACAACUUAACCUGGUAAUCUCUAACGAAUAAUAGCAGAACAACAAUAGAAUUAUGAUAGAGCACGCAACGAUAAUUUAGAAAUGCAAAAAGCACAAGAAAAAAAAAUCAAGGGUGUACCUUAUCAGAUGAAGGAUGCCUGUUGCGUGGAAUCUCUACACUCUUAAAUAUAAGGUCAUCAAGCUAAACCAUUACCUCUUCCAAUGGAUAACACUCAAGUCUUUUUUCCUUUCUUCCUUUUUUUUUUUUUGGGGGGGGCCAUUUUUCCGAUACUCUGCAGUAAAAGUCAAUU